rnacentral:rRNA from 1 species
GACGAACGCUGGCGGCGUGCUUAACACAUGCAAGUCGAACGGAAAGGCCCUGCUUGCCGGGUACUCGAGUGGCGAACGGGUGAGUAACACGUGGGUGAUCUGCCCUGCACUUCGGGAUAAGCCUGGGAAGCUGGGUCUAAUACCGGAUAGGAGCCAUUUUUAGUGUGAUGGUUGGAAAGUUUUUUCGGUGUAGGAUGAGCUCGCGGCCUAUCAGCUUGUUGGUGGGGUAAUGGCCUACCAAGGCGGCGACGGGUAGCCGGCCUGAGAGGGUGGACGGCCACAUUGGGACUGAGAUACGGCCCAGACUCCUACGGGAGGCAGCAGUGGGGAAUAUUGCACAAUGGGCGCAAGCCUGAUGCAGCGACGCCGCGUGGGGGAUGACGGCCUUCGGGUUGUAAACUCCUUUCGCUAGGGACGAAGCUUUUUGUGACGGUACCUAGAUAAGAAGCACCGGCUAACUACGUG